rnacentral:rRNA from 1 species
UGCCUGAAGACCCUCCCAUUUCAGGUAAACCCUGCCCAGUGACCCGCUUUAACGGCCGCGGUACCCUGACCGUGCUAAGGUAGCGUAAUCAUUUGCCUUCUAAUUGGAGGCCUGUAUGAACGGGUAAACGAAAACUAAGCUGUCUCCAGUAUACCUCUAAAAAUUUAUCUUCAGGUGAAGAAGCCUGAAUAUCUAUAAAAGACAAGAAGACCCUGCGAGCUCUCCCCCUCCCACAACAUAUACCCUUCCCACAAGAAGGGGGGGGUUUAUUGGGGCAAUAAUGGAGUAAAAAAAACCUCCAGCACAACCACGACCUCAAGUCACCCAAAUGAUCCCCAAAAGAUCAAAGAAACCAGCUACCGCAGGGAUAACAGACUAAUUUUUCUUAAGAGACCAAAUCUACAGAAAAGUUUGGCACCUCGAUGUUGGCUUAAGGUUCUCUUAAAUGCAUCAGUUUAAGCCAGUGGGUUUGUUCAACCCUUAAAACCUU